CGACGUAGGUAACCUGCCUGGUAGCGGGGGAUAACUAUUGGAAACGAUAGCUAAUACCGCAUAACAGUAGAUAUCGCAUGAUAUUUGCUUGAAAGGUGCAAUUGCACCACUACCAGAUGGACCUGCGUUGUAUUAGCUAGUUGGUGAGGUAACGGCUCACCAAGGCAACGAUACAUAGCCGACCUGAGAGGGUGACCGGCCACAUUGGGACUGAGACACGGCCCAA
rnacentral:rRNA from 1 species